GAGACCCAUAAGUGUGGGGUGGGACCCAUAAGUGUGGGGUGGAACCCAGAGAUGGGAGGGAGAACCCAUAAGUGUGGGGUGGGACCCAUAGAUGGGAGGGAGAACCCAUAAGUGUGGGGUGGGACCCAUAGAUAGAGGUUGGGACCCAUAAGCGUGGGGUGGGACCCAGAAAUGUGGGGGUGGGACCCAUAGAUACAGGGGGGGACCCAUACGUGUGGGGUGGGACCCAUACGUGUGGGGUGGGACCCAUAAGUGUGGGGUGGGACCCAUAAGUGUGGGGUGGGACCCAUAAAUGUGGGGUGGGACCCAUAAGUGUGGGGUGGGACCCAUAAGUGUGGGGUCGGACCCAUAGAUACAGGGUGGGACCCACAGAUAUGGGGUGGGACCCACAGAUAUGGGGGGGGGACCACAAAUAUGGAGGGGGGGGGAACCCACAGAUACCAGGGAGGACCCACAAGUGUGGGGUGGGACCCAUAGAUAUGGGGGCCGGGACCCAUAAGUGUGGGGUGGGACCCACAGAUUCCCCAAGGGGAACGGGGGGGGGGGACCCACAGAUAUAGGGGGGACCCACAGGAGGUGGGACGGAGGGGGUGACCCCCACGAUGUGGGGCGCCCCACAGCGCUAUGGGGCAGGCGCCCCCCACUCACCUUUACCGCCCCGGAACUUGCCCUGCGGCACCGAGCUGGCUAUGGGGUACGGGUACAGCUGGGGGGCCUGUGGGGCACAGCGGGGAAAUGUGGGGCACAGAGGGGAAAUGUGGGGCACAGCGCGGAGCCGCUGUGGGGCAGGACGCGGCGCUAUGGGGUGGAUUUAUGGGGCAGGAGCCGGCGCUAUGGGGCAAAUCUAUUGGGCAGGACUCGGCGCUACGGGGCAGAUCUAUGGGGCAGGACCCGGCGCUACGGGGCGGAUCUAUGGGGGCCAGAUCUAUGGGGCAGGAGCCGGCGCUAUGGGGCGGAUCUAUGGGGCAGGACCUGGCGCUAUGGGGCGGAUCUAUGGGGCAGGAGCCGGCGCUUAGAGGCGGAUCUAUGGGGCAGGAGCCGGCGCUAUGGGGCGGAUCUAUGGGGCAGGAGCCGGCGCUAUGGGGCAGAUCUAUGGGGCAGGAGCUGGCGCUACAGGGCGGAUCUAUGGGGGGCAGAUCUAUGGGGCAGGAGCUGGCGCUACGGGGCGGAUCUAUGGGGGGCAGAUCUAUGGGGAAGGAGGCAGCGCUAUGGGGCGGAUCUAUGGGGCAGGACGUGGCGCUAUGGGGUGGAUCUAUGGGGCAGGAGCCGGUGCUUAGAGGCAGAUCUAUGGGGCGGAUCUAUGGGGCAGAUCUAUGGGGCAGGACCCGGUGCUUAGAGGCAGAUCUAUGGGGUGGAUCGAUGGGGCAGAUCUAUGGGGCAGGAGCCGGCGCUA
rnacentral:lncRNA from 1 species